UACGUAGGGUGCGAGCGUUAAUCGGAAUUACUGGGCGUAAAGCGCGCGUAGGCGGCUAAUUAAGUCAAAUGUGAAAUCCCCGAGCUUAACUUGGGAAUUGCAUUCGAUACUGGUUAGCUAGAGUGUGGGAGAGGAUGGUAGAAUUCCAGGUGUAGCGGUGAAAUGCGUAGAGAUCUGGAGGAAUACCGAUGGCGAAGGCAGCCAUCUGGCCUAACACUGACGCUGAGGUGCGAAAGCAUGGGGAGCAAACAGG
rnacentral:rRNA from 1 species